rnacentral:rRNA from 1 species
UACAGAGGUCUCAAGCGUUGUUCGGAUUCAUUGGGCGUAAAGGGUGCGUAGGCGGCGCGGUAAGUCGGGUGUGAAAUCUCGGAGCUUAACUCCGAAAUUGCAUUCGAUACUGCCGUGCUUGAGGACUGGAGAGGAGACUGGAAUUUACGGUGUAGCGGUGAAAUGCGUAGAUAUCGAGAGGAACACCUGAGGUGAAGACGGGUUGCUGGGCCGACACUGACGCUGACAGCGCGGAAGCCAGGGGAGCAAACGGG